rnacentral:lncRNA from 1 species
GCAGAAGCAAAGUUUAGAACAACAAUGAGUUUACUACAAGGGUUGUGAAAAGAAGAGAGAAAGUUGCCACUGUGGAGGUGGCGGAGCCCGGUGAUGGAGGUGGUGGUGGAGUUGAACCUGGCUCAGUUGGCGGUGAUUGAGGUGAUGGUCCUGCUUCGCUGGUAGGUGGAGUAGGUGUUGUUCCAGAACCAGGUGGGGUAGGAGUGGUUCCAGAACCAGGUGGUGAGGGUGAAGGUGAAGAACCUGUGACGCUGACGCUCAGUUUUUGGCCACUGCUGCAAUGACCUUGGAUUGUGCAUGCAAAAUAGAACUCCCCAG